AUCCAGCUGACGAGUCCCAAUAAGGACGAAACCCGCAUCAAACUGGAU
rnacentral:hammerhead_ribozyme from 1 species